CCCUUAGAUGUUCUGGGCCGCACGCGCGCUACACUGAUGCAUUCAACGAGCCUAGCCUUGACCGAGAGGUCCGGGUAAUCUUUGAAACUGCAUCGUGAUGGGGCUAGAUUAUUGCAAUUAUUAAUCUUCAACGAGGAAUGCCUAGUAAGCGUGAUUCAUCAAAUCGCGUUGAUUACGUCCCUGCCCUUUGUACACACCGCCCGUCGCUCCUACCGAUUGAGUGUGUUGGUGAGGAGUUCGGAUUGGCUCUUAGUGGCGGUUCGCCACCACCUAGAGCUGAGAAGUUCUCCAAACCGCCCCACUUAGAGGAAGGAGAAGUCGUAACA
rnacentral:rRNA from 1 species